AUAGCAAAGGCCUGGAGCUCUGAGAACUUUGUGCAUUUGAAGACCAGUGGUGGGGGCCCAGAGUGAGAUCUGGGAAGGGGCCAGGGUGAGGCUGGAGCUGCAGGCCGGGAACAGGAGUCAUGUGGGCCUGAAAAUUAGUUUUACAUGUCUGUGUAUAUACACACACACAGAGAUGUACAUACACAUAUGUACAUAUACACACACGGAUAUGUAAAUCGUGUGUGUGUGUGCGCGCGUGUGCGCGCACACACAUGCACACACACACACAUUGAAGUGGUGCUGUGAAUAUAAAGCCAUCACUUCCUGUCCCCGUGCUGGGUGCCCUGCUGAGAUGACUGUUGGUGUCUCCCCCACCCCCAAACCAAACCAUGUGGUGUAGAGAAGGGACCGGCUGGGUUGAGUGGAGAGUAGGCUGUUUAGGUGUCUGUCCUGGCAGGAGGACUGGCUUUAGCUUUGGAGCAGGGCUGGCUGAGGGCCCUGUGGGACUCCUUUAGGCCCAGGGGUCUGCACCCGUUUCCUUCUUUUCAUUGGGGGUGGUGGUGACGACUCACACCCAGUGCUGCCACGGGGUUCUGCAGGCUUUUCAGAGGCAGCCCGUGGAGGCCCAUGGUAGCACCUGGUGAGAAAGAGGAAGCACCUGGGGGCACCCCGCCUGCCUCUCCUGACAGACAUUUCUCUCGCUCAACAGCACCUCUCUGUGGCAGCCUCCGGCCCUGCGCUGACAGAGGAGGUGCUCCCCUCCCCGUGGGAGGCGCCAUCAUCUGUGGCUUCUGCUCUGCCCUUGGUCACUGACUUGACUGCAUAACACAGCCAGUGAGAGUCCCCCUUCCCUCCUGUGCUUGAGAGGCAGCCCUUAACUGGAGGUUUGUAGAAAGGGCCCAGCUCCAAACUGCAGGGUUCAGGGCCCAGCGGCAAAGCGUGCCUCGGUGUAACGGGCGGCGUUUCACUUCUGACUGCAUGCAGAUGUUGUCCUGUAGGCAGCUGGCUGUCCCCUCUCCUGCCAGCGAGUGAACCUUGUUCCCAUGCUGCCCGGCUUUUACUGUCUCCCCUCCUGCCUCUCCCCAGAGACCAUUGAGCUGCCCACCUCCUGUUAUGUCCAGCUCUGAUGGGAGGGCCAUGGGAAGCUCUUGGCGGGAGACCAGCCCCCUGCCACCGGUUGGCUCCCCUGCUUUCCCACGUGUGAUGUGCACAUUCCCCAGAGUUCGCGUGCAGCUGGUUGGCUCUGUGGUGCCCAGAGAUUGGAGCUCUCCUGAGAGGGGAGCCCAGCUGCUGUCCUCCCUGGUUCUAGGGGCGGGGUUUGAAAAUAGAGAAUCAUAAUCUCCCUCCUCCUCCUCUCCCUCCCCCUCCUCACCCCUGCAACACUGCCGGUAAACUGGAGUGACUGGCUCUGGAGCCGGACUCAGGGACUCAGCCCGCCUCACUGCUCUGCAUGGCAGCAGCGAUCUGGAGGAAGAUUAAUGGGCUCGUGAGUAUGUGAACAGGGAGUACGUUGCGCCUCGGCCUGCAAUUCCAUGGCAGGUGUGGACUUACUCUGGUGUAGGGAGACCAGGGCUCUGUAGGGGAGGUGGUGACCCAGCCAGGUAUGUGUGUGCCUAAGCCACCUUGUUCGUUAAGACUUGGACGGAAAGCACUUCUAAAUACGCCUGCCCUUCAGAGGCGCUUGGUGGGUGGUCGGGGCGUUUAUUCUUGGAAUCUCCUACAGCACAAUGUCCCCUUUUUUCUGAGCCAGUCGCUUUAGUUUCUAAGCUGGACUGACUACCUUCAGUUUUCUUAGGAAGGUGAGGGAAGUGGUAGCUGCUCUGUUGUUAGAAAGGGGAUGCUGGAGAGGGGAGCACAGGUGGCCAGUGGGUGGAUCAUGUUCCCCCGCUGGCUGGCUAGAGAAGGGACACCCUCACCCUCUUCUGCUGACCUCUUCGGCCAGCCCCGGGAACACCCACAUGGAAACAGCCUCUUGCUGCUGAGGCUUGAGCGCCUACAGCACAGACCAGAGCAGAGCAGCCCAAGCUUGCUGCGAGGGGGCAUUCGGAGUUCAGGGGCUGUGACGGGCGGUUUUGCAGAGCCAGGCCCAGCAUCGCGGCCUGCUGGGGAGAGCCUAGCUGCCCGGAGCCACCGGCUCGGGUGCUGACCACCUUCCCCUGUUGCUGGGUCUCUCGCUAGUGCUGUCAUUGUCAGAUUGACCCUCUGGUUAGAGAGGACACCCUGACCUGGUCUCGGCUCGCUGCUGCCUGAGCACCUCUGCCCUAGAGCUGGACCCAGUUUGUCUCCCAGGUCUGACUUGGAGGGGGCAAGAAGUGGCCACAGGAAGUUCCGUUUUGGUGGCUGGACUUCUGACUGGGCAUCUGGGAGCCAAGUGCUUUUUUUAUCCGAAUACGCCCUGAACGCUCCCUUCUUCAGCUCUCAUCACAUCCCGCGGUGGGCCAGGAAAGCUUUGCUCGGGCACUCAUUUUUUUGGUUUGUGUUGCUCAUCCCUGUAUUCUCUCCCAGCCACUAACAAACCCAAACCUUUCUUACAAAGAACAUGGAAAAAGUUGAACAGUGCCUCAAGGUCACUGGAUCAUAAGUGGUAUUUGGCAUAGUUAGCUGGUUUGGUGUUUGGUGAGAGCUUUCUGCUUUAUAUUUGAGCAAAAGAUUUCUUGGCGGAAGGCCUCUGUGCUGUGUUCCCAGUGCUUGCCCUGUGUACAGGGUUUGCCCCCUUCCCUCCCCUGACAGGUUGUUUUAAUCCUCUUGCCUAUAAACAAGUACAGCAGAACGUGUCAGGCCAGCUCACAUGACCUUGGUUAUCUCUUCAUGGGGUAACCAGCAUCAGCUGUAGAUACACAGGCACUUGAUGGGGUAGAGCUGUCAGGGUGAAGGGGAGAUGCCAGGAGGAAGCCGGGGUCUGCCAAGGAAGGGGAGUGCUAGGGAGUGUGGUCCUCAAUGAGGACCAGGCAGGAAAUGUCAGCUGCCAUUGACAGGAAUGCGGAGAAGACCGUUUCAUUCCCUGUCCCUGCAUUUCGACUCCUGGCAUCUCAUUUCUCUUUCUCCUGUCUCUCACAUCCUGUCUGGAGGGGCCGUGGCCGGGACAUGCAGCUGUUUCAGGAAACUGCCCCCGAGACACAUGCGUGUAUGCCAGUUCAUGGGAUACAAAACCCAACACCAAAAAUCCCACCUUCCCAAACGGUGUUCUUGUUGUGUUGCCUGGAGGACAGCUGGCGGUGGAAGCCUGGCUGCCAUGGAAGGGUCUCCACCCAGAGACACUCGGGAAAUGGAAGUGGAGCUCAGUUCUCACCACACACACACACACACACACACGCACACACACACACACGUUUCCCCCCUCUCACAGCUGAAGAGGCAGUGCUCCUCAGCACAUAACAAUCGGGGACUCUAGCCCCACUGUGUGUGUGUGUUUCUUAAAUGCGAGUCACAUUUCCCACUGUGACACUGAUUUGCAGUUUCUAGGUCCCUCUAUCUAGAAACUCUUGCAUGUCUCAAGAGCUGUGUUGUAUACUCUGGAUUUUCCUAGGGUGGGAUGUGUAUGUUUCAAGUGUUUUUUAUCGGGGGAGAGUAGAGUGGACUUUUAUGGAGGGGAUAAAACAUGUUAGCUGCUGGAGACUUUUUCUGGUUCUGCAAGAAACCCAGGCUCAAGUACGAGCUGUGCGAAUUGAACUUGGCCUUUGACCCUGGAGCUCUAGGCCAGUUCAAAAGGUCCAUCUCUUUUUACAUGUAUAGAGCAUUUGUGGUGAUCAUUGGGUAAAUAAGGGAAAGCCCAAAGCCUUUUUUUAUAAUCCACCUCCCUCCCCAUAUCUUUUUCUGGCACCCUACAGAGUAAGUUAGGGAAGCAUCUGGAAUUAUUACAAUAAUAGCCAGUAUGUCAUGAGCAUUUAAUAUAUGUCAGGCAUUGUUCUGAGUGUUUUGGAUGGUGUUGGAUAUACAGCAAUUUCUGACUUUUAAAAAUCUGUUUUCUCUUGAUAGAGACCCCUUUAUGUCUUGGGGUCUUUGUUGGUGGUUGUACGGACUAGACAGAACAACAGAAUGGGUAGCAGUGGCUUCCUGCUGCCCAGUUAGAGUCUUCCAACCGGAGAUGUCUGGGUGGUGUUUUUCUCUCCGUCUUCAGGUCUUUCUUUAGGCCACCAUGCCUGUUGGCAAGUAGAGCUACCCUUCAGGAUUUGUUGGGGAAGAUCUGUGUUCCUUUUGUAGCCACCCUUUCUUCCCUGCCCUCUUUGGAGGUGAAGAGCUACAGACUUGGCUGCCUGCCUCCUUCAAAACAACCAGCCUGCUCUUGUCUGCAGUCGGUGUGAUAGUGCAUCUAACAAUGCCCCAAAGUGGCCCUCUUCCCACCCCCACCAUCUGUUCAUUUGUGGUCCUAGUUCAUGAGCUGAUGUGUACAGAGCCCCACUCCCAGCUUCAGAUCACAGAGGUCGGAAUCCUUAGACCCUCCAGCCCACGCCUCCCUGAUGCCUUGGCCAGGGCUCAGCCGGCCUUUUCCAGACACUCCCUUCUCCAAGACACUUUCUUCCUAGGACUCUCCGAAAAGAUGAAUUAACGGUAAAAUGUGCUUUUUAUUUAUUUUUAAAUAUAUGUUUAUUGAUUUCAGAGAGGAAUGGAGAGGGAAAGAGAGAAACAGAAACAUCAAUGAUGAGAAUCAUUGAUCGGCUGCCUCCUGCACGCCCCACACUGGGGAUCGAGCCCACAACCUGGGCAUGUGCUCAGAACAGGAAUUGAUCCGUGACUUCCUAGUUCACAGGUCAACCUUCAACCACUGAGCCACGCCGGCCAGGCUAAAAGGUGCUUUU